UCUGGGCAGAGAGAUAUAUACCUGUAAUCCCUCUGACUGGGGAGGCUGAGACUGGUGGAUUGUUUGUAUUCAGGAGUUCUGAGCUAUUGUAGGUUAAAGUCGAUUAGGUGUCCAGACUAAGACCUAUCAAUCUGGAGAGCCCCUGGAGUGUGGCAUCAUCAAAUUGCCUAAAGAGGAGCAAAUUGGCCCAAGUCAGAAACACAGCAAGUCAACAUUCCCCUGCCUGUCAUCAGUGGGAUUGGGCCUGUGAACUGUCUCUCAGAUUACAGUCUGGGCAAGAUCAAGAGAUCCUGCCUCA
rnacentral:SRP_RNA from 1 species